GGAAGGGGGAACAGGGAAGGAGGUACAGGCAGGGGGUACAGGCAGGGAUUUAGGGGGGAUAACCCGAGGUACAGGCAGGGAUUUAGGGGGGAUAACCCGAGGUACAGGCAGAGGUACAGGCAGGGAUUUAGGGGGGAUAACCCGAGGUACAGGCAGAGAUUUAGGGGGGAUAACCCGAGGUACAGGCAGGGAUUUAGGGGGGGAUAACCCGAGGUACAGGCAGGGAUUUAGGGGGGAUAACCCGAGGUACAGGCAGAGGUACAGGCAGGGAUUUAGGGGGGAUAACCCGAGGUACAGGCAGGGAUUUAGGGGGGAUAACCCGAGGUACAGGCAGAGGUACAGGCAGGGAUUUAGGGAGGAUAACCCGAGGUACAGGCAGAGGUACAGGCAGGGAUUUAGGGGGGAUAACCCGAGGUACAGGCAGGGAUUUAGGGGGGAUAACCCGAGGUACAGGCAGGGAUUUAGGGGGGAUAACCCGAGGUACAGGCAGGGAUUUAGGGGGGAUAACCCGAGGUACAGGCAGAGGUACAGGCAG